rnacentral:rRNA from 1 species
CGUACACUCCUACGGGAGGCAGCAGUGGGGAAUUUUGGACAAUGGGCGAAAGCCUGAUCCAGCCAUGCCGCGUGCAGGAUGAAGGCCUUCGGGUUGUAAACUGCUUUUGUACGGAACGAAACGGCCUUUUCUAAUAAAGAGGGCUAAUGACGGUACCGUAAGAAUAAGCACCGGCUAACUACGUGCCAGCAGCCGCGGUAAUACGUCGGGUGCAAGCGUUAAUCGGAAUUACUGGGCGUAAAGCGUGCGCAGGCGGUUAUGUAAGACAGUUGUGAAAUCCCCGGGCUCAACCUGGGAACUGCAUCUGUGACUGCAUAGCUAGAGUACGGUAGAGGGGGAUGGAAUUCCGCGAGUAGCAGUGAAAUGCGUAGAUAUGCGGAGGAACACCGAUGGCGAAGGCAAUCCCCUGGACCUGUACUGACGCUCAUGCACGAAAGCGUGGGGAGCAAACAGGAUUAGAUACCCCUGUAGUCC